GAUGAAGAACGUAGUGAAAUGCGAUAAGUAAUGUGAAUUGCAGAAUUCAGUGAAUCAUCGAAUCUUUGAACGCACAUUGCGCCCGCCAGUAUUCUGGCGGGCAUGCCUGUUCGAGCGUCAUUUCAACCCUCAGGCCCCCAGUGCCUGGUGUUGGGGAUCGGCCCAGCCUUCCUGUAAGGCCGCCGGCCCCGAAAUCUAGUGGCGGUCUCGCUGUAGUCCUCCUCUGCGUAGUAGCACAACCUCGCAGUUGGAACGCGGCGGUGGCCAUGCCGUUAAACACCCCACUUCUGAAAGUUGACCUCGGAUCAGGUAGGAAUACCCGCUGAACUUAAGCAUAUUAAUAAGCGGAGGA
rnacentral:misc_RNA from 1 species